rnacentral:rRNA from 1 species
GGUCAAGCUACUAAGAGCUUAUGAUGGAUGACUUGGCACGGGAAGGCGAUGAAGGACGUGGUAAGCAGCGAUAUGCUCCGGGGAGUCGCAAACAGACUUUGAUCCGGAGACUUCCGAAUGGGGAAACCCUUUGCGGGUUAUACCGCAAAAUCUCAUCCU